CAGUAGCCGCGGUAAAACGGAGGGUGCAAGCGUUAAUCGGAAUUACUGGGCGUAAAGCGUGCGUAGGCGGUUCGUUAAGUCUGUUGUGAAAGCCCCGGGCUCAACCUGGGAAUGGCAAUGGAUACUGGCGAGCUAGAGUGUGUCAGAGGAUGGUGGAAUUCCCGGUGUAGCGGUGAAAUGCGUAGAGAUCGGGAGGAACAUCAGUGGCGAAGGCGGCCAUCUGGGACAACACUGACGCUGAGGCACGAAAGCGUGGGGAGCAAACAGGAUUAGAUACCCGGGUAGUCCCUGUCUCUUAUAA
rnacentral:rRNA from 1 species